AUUGAACGCUGGCGGCAUGCUUUACACAUGCAAGUCGAACGGCAGCACGGGGGCAACCCUGGUGGCGAGUGGCGAACGGGUGAGUAAUGCAUCGGAACAUACCCAGUCGUGGGGGAUAACGUAGCGAAAGUUACGCUAAUACCGCAUACGUCCUGAGGGAGAAAGCGGGGGAUCGCAAGACCUCGCGCGAUUGGAGUGGCCGAUGUCAGAUUAGCUAGUUGGUGGGGUAAAGGCCCACCAAGGCGACGAUCUGUAGCGGGUCUGAGAGGAUGAUCCGCCACACUGGGACUGAGACACGGCCCAGACUCCUACGGGAGGCAGCAGUGGGGAAUUUUGGACAAUGGGGGAAACCCUGAUCCAGCCAUGCCGCGUGAGUGAAGAAGGCC
rnacentral:rRNA from 1 species